rnacentral:rRNA from 1 species
UGACGGGGACCCGCACAAGUAGGGAGCAUGUGGUUAAUUCAAAGAUACGCGCAGAACCUUACCAACACUUGACAUGUUCGUCGCGACUCUAAGAGAUUAGAGUUUUCGGUUCGGCCGGACGAAACACAGGUGCUGCAUGGCUGUCGUCAGCUCGUGUCGUGAGAUGUUGGGUUAAGUCCCGCAACGAGCGCAACCCUCACUUUUAGUUGCCAUCAUUUAGUUGGGCACUCUGAAAGAACUGCCAGUGAUAAGCUGGAGGAAGGUGGGGAUGACGUCAAGUCCUCAUGGCCCUUAUGUGUUGGGCUACACACGUGCUACAAUGGCAUUUACAAUAGGAAGCAAGAUGGCGACGUCAAGCAAAUCCUAAAAAAAUGCCUCAGUUCGGAUUGUACUCUGCAACUCGAGUACAUGAAGCUGGAAUUACUAGUAAUCGCGGAUCAGCGCGCCGCGGUGAAUGCGUUCCCGGGUCUUGUACACACCGCCCGUCACACCAUGGGAGUUGGUUCUACCUUAAGGCAAAACUUAAAACUUUUGACCACGGUAUAGUCAGCGACUGGGGUGAAGUCGUAACAAGGUA